rnacentral:rRNA from 1 species
AUUGAACGCUGGCGGCAUGCUUUACACAUGCAAGUCGAACGGUAACAGGGAGCUUGCUCCGCUGACGAGUGGCGAACGGGUGAGUAAUAUAUCGGAACGUACCCAAGAGUGGGGGAUAACGUAGCGAAAGUUACGCUAAUACCGCAUACGAUCUAUGGAUGAAAGCAGGGGACAUUCGGGCCUUGUGCUCCUGGAGCGGCCGAUAUCUGAUUAGCUAGUUGGUGAGGUAAAGGCUCACCAAGGCGACGAUCAGUAGCUGGUCUGAGAGGACGACCAGCCACACUGGAACUGGGACACGGUCCAGACUCCUACGGGAGGCAGCAGUGGGGAAUUUUGGACAAUGGGCGCAAGCCUGAUCCAGCAAUGCCGCGUGGGUUAAGAAGGCCUUCGGGUGGUAAAGCUCUUUUGUCAGGGAGAAACGGCUGUGGCUAAUAUCCACGGCUAAUGACGGUACCUGAAGAAUAAGCACCGGCUAACUACGUG